rnacentral:lncRNA from 1 species
CUUCCUUCUCUCCCUCCCCCUCGCAGCUCGGAGCCAGGUGCGAUAAUCCUCAGGUGGGCAGAGCAUCCGCAAUACCAGAUGAUCCAAAGGCAACAGAUGCUCCGAUUGCGCCAUUGAAUAAUCCCAAGUGGUAACUUGCCCCUGGUGGACUUGAACAGAAUUGUAUUGUAUGCAGCAAGGCAAUGAAGAGCACAGACUCUGAAGCCAGAUUGCCCAGGAGAGAGAGAUUUGAAGAUACAGAGGAGACCCACAGGGAGGAAGGCCAUGUGACAACGGAGGCAGAGACUGGAGUGAUGCGUCUCCAAGCCGAGGACUGCUGGACCAUCAGAAGCUGGAAGAGGGGAGGAAGGAGCCUUCAGAAGGAGCUGAUACCUUCAUUUCUGACUUCUGGCCUCCACAACUGGGAGAGAAUCGAUUUCUGUUGUUUCAAGCCACCCAGUUUAUGAUAAUUUGUUAUGGAAGUCCUAGGAAAGCAAUACAGG